rnacentral:tRNA from 1 species
GGGAAUGUGGCUUAGUGGUAGAGUGCUUGCCCAGCAUGCAUGAAGCCCUGGGUUCGAUUCCUCACUACCA